rnacentral:rRNA from 1 species
GGACCCGCACAAGCGGUGGAGCAUGUGGUUUAAUUCGAUGCAACGCGAAGAACCUUACCUGGUCUUGACAUCCUGCGAACUUUCUAGAAAUAGAUUGGUGCCUUCGGGAACGCAGUGACAGGUGCUGCAUGGCUGUCGUCAGCUCGUGUCGUGAGAUGUUGGGUUAAGUCCCGUAACGAGCGCAACCCCUAUCCUUAUUUGCCAGCACAUUAUGGUGGGAACUAUAAGGAGACUGCCGGUGAUAAACCGGAGGAAGGCGGGGACGACGUCAAGUCAUCAUGGCCCUUACGACCAGGGCUACACACGUGCUACAAUGGGAAGGACAAAGAGCCGCGAAGCCGCGAGGUGUAGCUAAUCUCAUAAACCGUGGCUCAGUUCAGAUCGUAGGCUGCAACUCGCCUACGUG